rnacentral:rRNA from 1 species
CGCCUCUCGCAAACAAAUAUGAGAGGUCUUGCCUGCCCUGUGACCACGUGUUUAACGGCCGCGGUAUUUUGACCGUGCAAAGGUAGCGCAAUCACUUGUCUUUUAAAUAAAGACCCGUAUGAAUGGCUUAACGAGGGCUUGACUGUCUCCUUUCCCCGGUCAAUGAAAUUGAUCUCCCCGUGAAGAAGCGGGGAUAAGAACAUAAGACGAGAAGACCCUGUGGAGCUUUAAAUUUUGGCCGAUAUUACAUUACACCCUUGAUUAAAAGAAACAAAAAGUAAUUAAUCCGCUAAUAUUUUCGGUUGGGGCGACCGCGGGGUAAAAAACAACCCCCGUGAAAAGUGGGGCACAACCUCAGAACCAUGAACGUCAGUUCUAAGUAGCAAAAUUUGACCUGUAGAUCCGGUACCACCGAUCAACGAACCAAGUUACCCUAGGGAUAACAGCGCAAUCCCCUUAAAGAGUUCCUAUCGACAAGGGGGUUUACGACCUCGAUGUUGGAUCAGGACAUCCUAAUGGUGCAGUCGCUAUUAAGGGUUCGUUUGUUCAACGAUUAAAGUCCU